GGAAGUAAAAGUCGUAACAAAGUCUCCGUUGGUGAACCAGCGGAGGGACCAUUACCGAGUUAUCAACUCCCAAACCCCUGUGAACAUACCCAACGUUGCUUCGGCGGGACCGCCCCGGCGCCCUCGGCGUCCCGGAGCCAGGCGCCCGCCGGAGGACCCAAACUCUUGUUUAAACCAUAGUGGCAUAUUCUGAGUCUCACAAGAAAAAUGAAUCAAAACUUUCAACAACGGAUCUCUUGGCUCUG
rnacentral:misc_RNA from 1 species